UUAGAAAGAGUCACUAUGAGGACCCCAGUAGCUCCUGCAGGCUCUAAGAUAGAGGAGCGGCACAGUCUAAGCGAUGCUGGAGGACUUAGAAGCAAAGAAACAGACUGGCCUUCAGAACCUCCAGGAAGGACGGAAGGGAGUGGCACUACUGAAAAGGAUUCGGAGGUGUGGCCUUGUUGAAGGAAGAAUGGCACUGGCUCUGUAGUUUACAAAAGCCACGCCAGGCCUAGCAGCUCUCUCUUCCUCUGGAUCAGGACAUGGAGCUCUCAGCUACUUCUCCAGCAUGUGCCUGCCACAUACCACCAAGCUUCCUGUGGUGAUGAUAGUGGACUAAAGUAAACUUCUGAAACUGUAAGCCAGCCCCAGUCAAAUGCUCUCUUUAUAAGUGUUGCUGUGGUCAUGGUGACUCUUCACAUCAAUAUAACAGUAAGAAAAACAGACACUCAACUUCAUUCAGCACAGGAGAAAUAAAAAAAGAAUGACAUCACCUUAA